rnacentral:tRNA from 1 species
GGAGAGAUGUCCGAGCGGUUUAAGGAGCUAGUCUUGAAAACUAGUGAUACCGAAAGGUACCGUGGGUUCGAAUCCCACUCUCUCCGCCA